rnacentral:misc_RNA from 1 species
GGACCAGUUGUGACUUCAACACCAGGUGUCUCAAAGUUCUCAGGGUGUCCAGGGGUUUUGCUUCCCCACUGGCGGAAGCUCUUCAAGUCCUCUUCCCUAACAGCAUCAUAGCCAGCGAGGUGAAGCAAAGCAUACUGAAGCAUACAUCCAUGUCCGGCGGAGAGAACAAAGCGAUCACGAUUAAACCAAUAAGGGUUUUUGGGGUUAUAUCUCAUGAUCUCAUCAUACAAUAUAUGACCCAUAGGAGCACACCCCAUAGGUAAACCCGGAUGACCCGAAUUCGCCUUUUCAACAGCAUCAAUAGCCAAAAAUCUGAUCGUAUUUACAGAUUUCUCAACAAGGGCAUUAUCAGUUUUCUGUAAAGUCUCUACUGCAGCUGAAGCGCGAAUCGCCGAGUGUCUUCCGGCGCCGGCAGCGGAGGGAAGAAUACGGCGGCGGAAUGAGGUAGCAGUGGUGGAUUUGAGACCGGAAAAAGUCGGAAGAGAGAUGGAAGAAGGGGAAAGCUGAGAGUUAGGGGAAGAAGAAGAGCCAUGGCGAGAAACUGAACGAGAAAGGAUAGCUUGAGAGAGAGUGAGAGAAGAAGAAGAAGAAAAGCUGGAGUCUAUACUUAGAAGCAAUCUUCAGACCAUAUUGCUAAUUCAUAGUUGAUUUUAGCUUCCAGGAACUGUAAAAUCUUCCAUGGGUAAGGAAGACUGUUGCUCAACGCAACUAAUAGAUGCUAAUGGAGAAUUCAACUUCAAAGGUCUACAGAAUUUCGUUAGCUCUGUCAAACUUCCUCGCUGUGGUCUCUCUUAUGCUGUUGUUGCUAUUAUGGGACCCCAGAGUAGUGGGAAAAGUACCUUAUUAAACCAUUUAUUCUAUACUAAUUUUAGGGAGAUGGAUGCUUUUAGAG